GUGGCUAUACGGUCAACUCGCGUGCGCGUCCGGUUAGAUUUCACAAGGACGUGCUUUUAUUUUUUGAGUCUGACACCGGAAAGAAAUCAAAGGUUCGAGUUUAUCUCCCGCUUUCCGCGGUAGCGACCUCGCGUUGCCAUAGCAAUGGACAGGGGGACGUGGGAGACGAUACUCACCCGUUUCCAGGCACGUGCACGUGGGUAUUCGGUGAGAAAGGAAGUCGGCCGCGCACGAGAAGACUUUACAGACAUCGUGCAAGAGAUCGAUGGAGGCUUGGCCCACCUGCAGUGGAGGGACACGGUUAUCCCCAUUCCUCACUUCACAGACACUGGCGGACUGUUUCUACGACCCAGCAGUGAUGCCAGCAGGCCUUUGGAUCCAGGGCUGGAUGUGAGAACCAGUCCCCAGAGUCCAGCAGCAGCCUUAUCACAGGAGAGAGGGGGAGAUCGGGCGCUCCUUCUGCAGAAGUCAGAAGCACAGAGAGAUGACUCAGGAACCAAAGGCCAAGCACGUCUCUCCACUGACCGUCUGCCCAGCAGCCAUGCAGGUGGAGGCGGGGUGGGCCUUGGGCAGAGGGAUCAGGGGGGAGAUAAAGAGGGAAGAGCGACAGGCAGCUCGGGAGACUCCACCAGCCUCUGGAGCAGUUUGGAGCAGGAUGAGAACUUUAGUCGCUCUCAUCGAGGGGGAAAAGACAGAAGAAGAAGAAAAGGGAUUUUGACCAUCGUUAGUAGCUUUGUGAUGUCCCCGGCAGUACUGCUUGGCACAGGAGGUGCCGCGCACACCGGAGGCCCUGCAUCUCCAUAGAAACACCCUGACCAUGGAGUUGGUCUGGCUACAACAGGCCAUUGACAGCAGGAAAAAGUACUUGUCUCUGAAGGAUAGGCUAACAGUAUCCUGAAGCAUGUGGGAGGCCUGACAGUUCAGUUAUUUUAUAUUUAUGUAAAGAAAUUGUUUGU